CCUGCGCUCCGCUGAUAGGCGGCGGCGGUGGCGGCGGAGGCGGCGGCGGUGGCGACGACGGCGGCGGCGGAGGCGGCGGCGGCGGCGGAGCGUGGGCCCGGUCAGGGCCAAGCGGCGGGUGCGGGGCAUCUGGAUUGGCGGGACCCUUGCGGAAGCCUCACGGCCUCGCAGCCGCGGCCUGGUCCCUGCCCUGGCGCUCUGACCUCCCUUCCCCGCUUCCCCGGGGCCUUGGGACGCCCGUCUGGUGGUGAGCGGAGGCUAUCACUCUACCACUUGAGCCACAACCACUUCUGGCUUUUUCUGUGUUUAUGUGGUGCCAAGGAAUUGAACCCAGGGCUUCAUGAAUACAAGGCAAGUAAGUACUCUACCACUAAGCCACAUUCCCAGCCCUGUUUGGUAAGUUCUUACAUUUUCAUCCCUGUAUUUUAAAAAAAUCAAGCCUUCAACUCUGAGUUCUAUCACAAAGGUCACUAUGGAAGUUCAAAUAAGUGUUUUGAUUGUUUUGGGGAAAGAGGGGAUUACACACUGCUACUGUUUAUUAGGAAAAGUUACACUGAAAGUUGUAAAUUCAAAAAUUACUUGAGCAAAGUAGUAUUAUCUCAAAAGGUAAGAGGUCAUUCAUUGAGUUUUUGAAAUGAUAGUUCUUAGGAUCUUAGAUCUUUGGGAAAUUAAAUC